GGGGUCGUAGUUCAGCUUGGUUUAGAACGCCUGCCUGUCACGUAGGAGGUCGCGGGUUCGAACCCCGUCGAUCCCGCCA
rnacentral:tRNA from 1 species